GUGCGCACUUCAGUAGCACAUACAUGCACUAAAAUUGGAAUAAUACAGGGAAGAUUAGCAUGGCCCCUGUGCAAGGAUGACACGCAAAUUCAUGAAGCGUUAUGUAUUUUU